GGGGCAUCGACUUCACUCCCAACCCCAAUGUGAACGUUACCAAUCUGUUGCCUCGGCGGGAUUCUCUUGCCCCGGGCGCGUCGCAGCCCCGGAUCCCAUGGCGCCCGCCGGAGGACCAACUCCAAACUCUUUUUUUCUCUCCGUCGCGGCUCCCGUCGCGGCUCUGUUUUAUUUUUGCUCUGAGCCUUUCUCGGCGACCCUAGCGGGCGUCUCGAAAAUGAAUCAAAACUUUCAACAACGGAUCUCUUGGUUCUGGCAUCGAUGAAGAACGCAGCGAAAUGCGAUAAGUAAUGUGAAUUGCAGAAUUCAGUGAAUCAUCGAAUCUUUGAACGCACAUUGCGCCCGCCAGUAUUCUGGCGGGCAUGCCUGUCCGAGCGUCAUUUCAACCCUCGAACCCCUCCGGGGGGUCGGCGUUGGGGAUCGGCCCCUCACCGGGCCGCCCCCGAAAUACAGUGGCGGUCUCGCCGCAGCCUCUCCUGCGCAGUAGUUUGCACACUCGCACCGGGAGCGCGGCGCGGCCACAGCCGUAAAACACCCCAAACUUCUGAAAUGUUGACCUCGGAUCAGGUAGGAAUACCCGCUGAACUUAAGCAUAUCAAA
rnacentral:rRNA from 1 species